rnacentral:pre_miRNA from 1 species
ACUCUUUCCCUGUUGCACUACUGUGGACCACUGGGAAGCAGUGCAAUGAUGAAAGGGCAU